UACAGAGGUCUCAACCGUUGUUCGGAUUCAUUGGGCGUAAAGGGUGCGUAGGCGGUCGGGUAAGUCGGAUGUGAAAUCUCAGGGCUCAACCCUGAAACUGCAUUCGAUACUGCCUGGCUAGGGUACUGGAGAGGAGACUGGAAUUUACGGUGUAGCAGUGAAAUGCGUAGAUAUCGUAAGGAAGACCAGUGGCGAAGGCGAGUCUCUGGACAGUUCCUGACACUGAGGCACGAAGGCCAGGGGAGCAAACGGG
rnacentral:rRNA from 1 species